UGCUGUAGCCUCAGACAUCCUACUGAAUAAGAAGGAGAGGAGGAGGAACAGCCUCAACAGGAACUUUGUGGGCGACUACAUCGGCACUGACAACCACCCCGAGAUCCGGCAGUUCGUGGGCCGCCGGGAGAAGAUCGAUUUUGCAGAUGUGGUUGCCAAAUAUGACCGCAGGUUUAGGACUGUGAAGCGUGACCUCAUCCUGACCCCUAAGUUCCUGUAUCUGAUUGGUCGUGAGAAGGUGAAGCAGGGACCAGAUAAGGGACAGAUCCACGAGGUUCUGAAGAGACAGAUAGAAGUGGAGAAGAUUCAGUCAGUCUCUCUCAGUACCCUGCAGGAUGACUUCUUCAUCAUCCACGAGGAGCAUUACGACAGUGUCCUUCAGUGCAUCUUCAAGACGGAGUUCCUCAGUCUGCUCUACAAACGUUAUGAUGAGAAGACCCAGAGGAAGCUACCGCUCAAGUUCAACAACCUGUCAGUCAGUCUUUACUCUGAGCUUAGCCUUAGACCAGUCAGUGGGGUCUUACUGUUAAACAGUUGAAACCAUAACAGUGGUUUUCUAUAAAAAGCUGAGGGCUGGGGAAAUAAAACCACUCUCUCAUAGACCGAUAUGGAUGCAAGGACUGAUAUUAUAAAGAGAGCUUUAACCAUGUUUUGAGGCUAUACAGUUUUACAUUUACUUUGUAUACAAACAUUGGAGUAAAGUAAGCCUAUAUUUUGGGUUCUGACUCCAGUGUAUUGAUUUAUCAGCAACUUAAAUGACUAAAACCACAUAUAAAGUAUGUAUAAAAGAUGAUGGAGCUAUAUCUUUAUAAGAUCAUGUACAACCACCAAAAUGAAAACUAGACAGUCGGGGAGAAUCUAAAAUUCCAAAGAUGUCAUGGGUCUCGCUGUGAUUUUGUUAUAAUGUUUGAGUCACCCAGAUAGCAUAAGAACAUGGCAUAAGCCCUGGCAAAAUGUGCAGAAUGGCACGAAAUUUGCUUUAAAACAGCAAGACCUGUGGCCAAGAGGAGGGCCUUUACACAUUUUGGCGGGAGACGCCCCCAAGCUAAAUUAUUAUAUUCUUAGAGAAUCAAUUAAAUCAUUAAUUUAUAAGUCCAAAAAGGGAUGUUGCAACUGAUGAUUUCCCCUUAAAACAUACCAGUGUCAUGCUUUACGUCAACGAUCAUGAAUAAUCUCAAAGAUAC